rnacentral:ncRNA from 1 species
GAUAAGCUGCCACCGGGUAGCAGAAUGCUGAUUGUGCAUUCGUUUACACAUCGUUAGGCCUUUGAAGAUGUGUAUAACGGGUGCUUCUUUUUA